ensembl:miRNA
UAGGUUGGUGCAAAAGUAAUUGUGGUUUUUGCCGUUAACUUUUAAUGGCAAAAACCUCAAUUACUUUUGCACCACCUAAUAUAUUU